AUGCAUCAGUACAAAACCAGUUGGAGCAAGUCAUAUUUGUCAUUUGGAAUGUGUUGGAAAAGGUUUCAAGUGCAAAUGACAUGUAAUUUUGAAAAUCACUAUUUUUCCCACCAAUUUUUAAAUGGUUCACUUGAAAAAUGCCAUUUUGAUUGGAUGAUUUUUGAUGAAAUGUGAUAAUGCACCAUGAAAGUUCAUGUCAAAUGUGGUUUGCUCAAAGAAG
rnacentral:lncRNA from 1 species